CCUACGGGUGGCAGCAGUGAGGAAUAUUGGUCAAUGGCCGGAAGGCUGAACCAGCCAUGCCGCGUGAAGGUCAGUGCCCUAUGGGCGUUAAACUUCUUUUGUGCGGGAGAAAAAAUGGUCAAGUGUGGCCAGACGAUAGUACCGUACUAAUAAGCAUCAGCUAACUCCGUGCCAGCAGCCGCGGUAAUAAGGGGGAUGCAAGCGUUAUCCGGAUUUUUUGGGUUUAAAGGGUGCGUAGGCUGUGAGGUAAGUCAGCGGUGAAAUGCCCCCGCUCAACGGGGUGAAGUGCCAUUGAUACUGCCUUGCUGGAAUGCGGAUGCCGUGGGAGGAAUGUGUGGUGUAGCGGUGAAAUGCAUAGAUAUCACACAGAACACCGAUUGCGAAGGCAUCUCACGAAUCCGCGAUUGACGCUGAUGCACGAAAGCGUGGGUAUCAAACAGGAUUAGAUACCCGGGUAGUC
rnacentral:rRNA from 1 species